GACGAACGCUGGCGGCGUGCCUAACACAUGCAAGUCGAGCGAAUGAAGUUCCUUCGGGAAUGGAUUUAGCGGCGGACGGGUGAGUAACACGUGGGCAACCUGCCCCAUAGAGGGGAAUAGCCUCCCGAAAGGGAGAUUAAUACCGCAUAAGAUUGUAGUACCGCAUGAUACAGCAAUUAAAGGAGCAAUCCGCUAUGAGAUGGGCCCGCGGCGCAUUAGCUAGUUGGUGAGGUAAUGGCUCACCAAGGCGACGAUGCGUAGCCGACCUGAGAGGGUGAUCGGCCACAUUGGGACUGAGACACGGCCCAGACUCCUACGGGAGGCAGCAGUGGGGAAUAUUGCACAAUGGGGGAAACCCUGAUGCAGCAACGCCGCGUGAGUGAUGACGGCCUUCGGGUUGUAAAGCUCUGUCUUCAGGGACGAUAAUGACGGUACCUGAGGAGGAAGCCACGGCUAACUACGUG
rnacentral:rRNA from 1 species